rnacentral:rRNA from 1 species
GAAUAUUAGUCAAUGAUCGAAAGAUUGAUCUAGUUACUUAGAAAGAUGAAGAUUAUAAAAAAAAAUCAAAUAAAAAAUAAUAAUGAAGAAUAUAAAAUCAAUGUAUAUAUAAAAGAAUAAUGAUGAUUAUAUAUAUAGAAGUCUUAACCAAAAUUAGUGCCAGCAGUUGCGGCUAAACUAAGGAGGCAAACGUUAAUCAUUAAUGGCUUAAAGGAUCCGUAGAAUGAUAUAGUAAAAACCGUAUUAGAGUUAAAUUGAAUAAUUAUGAAAAAUUAUAUUGAGAGAUGAAAUGUGUGGAAAAUAAUUAGACAAAUAAACGUGAAGAUAAAAUUAAAGAUUUAACUGACAUUGAGGGAUUAAGGCAUGAGUAGCAAAACGGAUUAGAUACCCGAGUAGUUCAUGCAGUAAACGAUGAAUACCAUUUUUCAGAAAUGAAAAAAAAGCGAAAGCAAAAGUAUUCCGCCAGGAGAGUAUAGCUUCAAAGUAGAAAUCCAAGACAAUAGACGGUUACAGUUGUAGGCAGUGGAUUGUGUUAUUUAAU